rnacentral:rRNA from 1 species
GCUUGUCUCAAAGAUUAAGCCAUGCAUGUCUAAGUAUAAAUGAUAUACAGUAAAACUGCGAAUGGCUCAUUAAAACAGUUAUAGUUUAUUUGGUAAUCGAAUUUACAUGGAUAACCGUGGUAAUUCUAGAGCUAAUACAUGCACCCAUGCCCGACUUUGUGGAAGGGUUGUGUUUAUUAGUUACAGAACCAACCCAGGCUCUGCCUGGUCUUGUGGUGAUUCAUAAUAACCGAACGAAUCGUAUGGCAUCAGCUGGCGAUGAAUCAUUCAAGUUUCUGACCUAUCAGCUUCCGACGGUCCUGAGAAACGGCUACCACAUCUAAGGAAGGCAGCAGG